AUACGGAGGAUGCGAGCGUUAUCCGGAUUUAUUGGGUUUAAAGGGAGCGUAGGUGGGAUAUUAAGUCAGCUGUGAAAGUUUGGGGCUCAACCUUAAAAUUGCAGUUGAUACUGGUUUCCUUGAGUACGGUACAGGUGGGCGGAAUUCGUGGUGGAGCGGUGAAAUGCUUAGAUAUCACGAAGAACUCCGAUCGCGAAGGCAGCUUACUAAGCUGUUACUGACGCUGAGGCACGAAAGCGUGGGGAUCAAACAGGAUUAGAUACCCUGGUAGUCCACGCUGUAAACGAUGAUUACUGGUUGUUAGCGAUAUAUAGCUAGUGACUGAGCGAAAGCAUUAAGUAAUCCACCUGGGGAGUACGUCGGCAACGAUGAAACUCAAAUGAAUUGACGGGG
rnacentral:rRNA from 1 species